rnacentral:misc_RNA from 1 species
GAUGAAGAACGCAGCGAAAUGCGAUAAGUAAUGUGAAUUGCAGAAUUCGGUGAAUCAUCGAAUCUUUGAACGCACCUUGCGCUCCUUGGCAUUCCGAGGAGCAUGCCUGUUUGAGUGUCAUUAAAUUCUCAAGACCUGUCUGCUUUUUUGAUAGGUAUUGGAUUUUGGGGGUUGCAGGCUGUUUCAAAUAAAUAGCCUUGCUCUCCUUGAAUGUAUUAGUGGAGAAAAGCCAUUGAACUCCAUUGGUGUGAUAAAACCUAUCAAUGCCAGGAGCAAUAUCACUACUUCUCUCUGCUGUCUAACUGUGACUGUCUGUAUUAAUUAGUAUGGAUGGGGACAACUUGACCAACUUGACCUCAAAUCAGGUAGGACUACCCGCUGAACUUAAGCAUAUCAAUAAGCGGAGGA